UGGGGAAUCUUGCGCAAUGGCCUAACGGCUGACGCAGCGACGCCGCGUGUGGGAUGAAGCUCCUCGGAGUGUAAACCACUGUUGCCCGGGACGAAUAGCUCGAUUAAUCGAGCCUGACGGUACCGGGUGAGGAAGCACCGGCUAACUCCGUGCCAGCAGCCGCGGUAAUACGGGGGGUGCGAGCGUUGUCCGGAAUCACUGGGCGUAAAGGGCGCGUAGGUGGUUUGAUAAGGGUGUGGUGAAAGUCCGGGGCUCAACCCCGGAUCUGCCGUGCCGACUGUCAAACUCGAGGACUGUAGAGGCAGACGGAAUUCCGGGUGUAGCGGUGGAAUGCGUAGAGAUCCGGAGGAAGACCGGUGGCGAAGGCGGUCUGCUGGGCAGUUUCUGACACUGAGGCGCGACAGCGUGGGGAGCAAACAG
rnacentral:rRNA from 1 species